GAUGAAGAACGUAGCGAAAUGCGAUAAGUAGUGUGAAUUGCAGAAUUCAGUGAAUCAUCGAAUCUUUGAACGCACAUUGCGCCCUUUGGUAUUCCAAAGGGCAUGCCUGUUCGAGCGUCAUUUGUACCCUCAAGCUUUGCUUGGUGUUGGGCGUCUUGUCUCUAGCUUUGCUGGAGACUCGCCUUAAAGUAAUUGGCAGCCGGCCUACUGGUUUCGGAGCGCAGCACAAGUCGCACUCUCUAUCAGCAAAGGUCUAGCAUCCAUUAAGCCUUUUUUUCAACUUUUGACCUCGGAUCAGGUAGGGAUACCCGCUGAACUUAAGCAUAUCAAUAAGCGGAGGAA
rnacentral:misc_RNA from 1 species